UUAAUGGCGUCCAGUCAUCGUUUGUCACCCUUGCAGUAGAAAUCGUUUUACGUACUCCUAUAAACUUACAACGUUUGACUACCAUGGCGUCCCCGAAGCCCAUUGUUUGAAGAGUUAAGUGAAGUGCAAGUGUUGGACUUAAAUUAGCCGCUUGUCACGGCCUCCUCUUCUGCGCCGAUCCUUGACGAACCGGUUGCUGGUCCUAGUGGGCUGACUAGUCCUGGCGAGGAAUUUGCUGCGAUGCCCAGACUUACUAGGUCAUCUGGCAGAAGGCUUAAUCCUUACUCGGAUGAGUUAAAAGGCCCAUUCUCGGACGGAAGAGGGAACCUAUGCAAGGAUAAGGAAGAAUCUUCUUUUGAUGGUAUACCGCAUUUUGAGUAUUUUCCCUACCAUGUUUUGGCAAAGUACAACACAAAAUCGUCAAUAUGACUUACCUAUGUAUCCUCGAACGAAGGCGUACAUAACCAAAAGCGUCGCGUAACAGGUAACGCACGGCCGCCGCCCUAACGACCACUUGUCACUGGAUGAGACAAUGAACUGCUGCAGGUAUCGGGUGAAGAUCCA